GACGAACGCUGGCGGCGUGCUUAACACAUGCAAGUCGAACGGAAAGGCCCUGCUUUUGUGGGGUGCUCGAGUGGCGAAAGGGUGAGUAACACGUGAGUAACCUGCCCUUGACUUUGGGAUAACUUCAGGAAACUGGGGCUAAUACCGGAUAGGAGCUCCUGAUGCAUGGUGGGGGUUGGAAAGUUUCGGCGGUUGGGGAUGGACUCGCGGCUUAUCAGCUUGUUGGUGGGGUAGUGGCUUACCAAGGCUUUGACGGGUAGCCGGCCUGAGAGGGUGACCGGCCACAUUGGGACUGAGAUACGGCCCAGACUCCUACGGGAGGCAGCAGUGGGGAAUAUUGCACAAUGGGCGGAAGCCUGAUGCAGCAACGCCGCGUGCGGGAUGACGGCCUUCGGGUUGUAAACCGCUUUCGCCUGUGACGAAGCGUGAGUGACGGUAAUGGGUAAAGAAGCACCGGCUAACUACGUG
rnacentral:rRNA from 1 species